rnacentral:rRNA from 1 species
CAGUAGCCGCGGUAAUACGUAGGUCCCGAGCGUUGUCCGGAUUUAUUGGGCGUAAAGGGAGCGCAGGCGGUUUAGUAAGUCUGGAGUUAAAGGCAUUGGCUCAACCAAUGUAUGCUUUGGAAACUGUUUGACUUGAGUGCAGAAGGGGAGAGUGGAAUUCCACGUGUAGCGGAGAAAUGCGUAGAUAUAUGGAGGAACACCGGUGGCGAAAGCGGCUCUCUGGUCUGUCACUGACGCUGAGGCUCGAAAGCGUGGGUAGCGAACAGGAUUAGAGACCCCAGUAGUCCCUGUCUCUUAUACA